rnacentral:lncRNA from 1 species
GGCUGUGCACCAAGUGCGCUGUGUCCAACGACCUCACCCAGCAGGAGAUACAGACCCUGGAGGUGAGGAAACCGAAGGCCUGAGGGAGAAAUGACUUGCCAGGAACCCCUGUUAAGGAAAAUUAACAAAGUGUGGUUAUUAAAGAAGAACUGAGUUGGGAGUCAGACCUGGAGGCCCGCACCCGUGGUUAAGACAUUAUACCACCUUGAGUCUGGCCUGUUGACUGAGGAUUCUUUUCAAUAUACCCCAUCAUGGUUGAACUCAAAAAUCAUUGCUUAUUUAAAAUCUACAACUGCUGACGUUUUGUAACGUUCGCAUUCCAGAUACAACAGAGAAAUGCAUAAUGUCCAGUCAAUUUAUUAAAGUUCCAAAGUCGGUCGCGCGCAGUGGCUCACGCCUGUAAUCUCAACACUUCGGGAGGCCGAGGCGUGUGGAUCACGAGAUUUCAAUAUGAUUAAAGCAGGAGUGAGGACACAGCGAAAGUGAGACAAGGAAAAGAGAACAAAAUAAAACAGGAAAGACAGAAAAGCCAAUACCACACGUGUUAAGAGUUUCAAGGAAAAUAUGUUUGGAGUUCCUGGCAUAGAGAAUGUCACAAAGACAUGUUUUCAAUAGUAGUGCUAUCCCGAGCGCAGAGAAGACCCAAAGAAAGCCCAAGUGGCUGCUGGAACAAAAUCAGACACCGUGCCACCUGUCCACACUCCUUGGCUCUGCCAUCAUGCUGAAGAUCGCUUUAAAGGACUGGCUUCCCUCCCCCCAAAAUUAAAAGAGCACAGACUGAGAAACUGAAUGUGGGAGACAGCAGUGGAUUAUGCUGUUCUCAGGGGUCACCUCAGGUUUGGAAGCAUUCUUUCAAAUUAACCCAUCUCAGGCCAUCUGCAGAGAAGAAAGGUGGUACCUAACUUUUUUUCUUGUCGGCAUUUGGUAGGGGUGUUUUAUUGACCAAAUAUGUUCCCACAACCUCGUUUUUUGUGACUAACUAAAUAUAGUAGAGUUUUAAAUUUUAUCAUCAAAAUCUAUAGACAAUUUUUGAUGAAAAUAGACUCCAUCUCUAUGUCCUGCUUUUCUUCUUCUUAUUAAUUACAUUGCUGUAUAAAAGAACAAGACUUCAGCAUCAAGAAUAUCUUGUCUCUUGGCAUUGAAUUUAUACAAGGUGCUCUUUCUUUAAUGCUGUCUCAAAGGACAUAUUUUUACUCAUUAAAAAGGAAGAUCGGAAUCUAGUUGUAUGCACUGCUCCAACAUAUUAAUAAUUAAAAUUAGGAGGUAAAUGUGGUCAAAGCUAUAGAAAGACUGAGAUGUCAUUUACAUCGAUUACUCUAUAGCACUCUACAAACAGAAAUUGUUAAAUAAUAGUUUAUAUAAAUAUUUUGUAGCAUUUCAAAUAUUUGAGUGCUUGAAGUUUCUCCUCUUUUAUAGUUCAGAUUAUCAAUUUGAAGACUUACUCCGCUAGUUAAUAUGUUUUUAGUCUCGUUUGAGUAUUAUAUAAAAGCAAUUUUCAGUUAAAUGUGUUCCGCUUACAUAAAACGUUACAAAUUAUUGAGGAUUUAAUUACUUAUUCAUGUUCCUGUAAUGUCUUUAGAAGAUUUUCUUAUUAUUACCUAUCAAUAUAUGUAUGCUUUGUCAAAGAAAAAUCAAACAUAUAUAUCAUUGAAAUUGAAACUUUUUAAAAGUACUUAUUAAUUCUAUUGAAAAACCACAUCCAUAGGAACAAUUACAAUAUAAUAUUGUGAACAUGUAAACAUAUACCCUAUGUCUAUUUUAUGUAUAAGCAUGUAUGAUUAAAAAUAUAGUGAAGAAUUUUUAAACCUAGUAUUAUAAAGUAAAAAUUAGUUAACUUCCGAUGAUUAUUUGUUAAUUAAGAUAAAAUUAUUUUGAUUUGGGUGAUUUUAAAUAAAGAAAAAUAUUAAAUUACAUGACAAAAAUUCUUUAUAAAAUGUUUAUGAUUUUUACAUUGGUUUUAUCACUUUUCCCACUAUUUUAUUUUAAGAUGACCUGCCUUGUUUAAAACACUGUAUUCAUCUUAGUUAAAUUAGAUUCCAUUUGUAAAAUAAUUAACAAAUGAUUUGCUCUAUUGUACAGUGCGGUUAUAAACUGAGUCAGUAUCUCAAGAUUUGAUCCCCAUUAUCAUCAUCUGUGGCCCUAUUUGUUUUAUAAAUGUAUUGUCUUUUUCCAUGCCUGUCACAUCUCUAUUGCUCUUUCAUUUUUCUCUUUGUCCCUUAUAGGGAGCAUUGCCUAUCUCUAGAUUAAGCAAAAGUUGCAUCAUAAAAAAGCACAAUAACCUGCUCAAUCUUUCUCACACAGAGAAAUGUUUGUUAAGUAAUUAAAGUGUAGAUGAUGAUACAAAGAGCUUGAUUAAAUUAGAUGCCAAAGUACCCUUGUGAUUCAGAAUAUGAAUGGUAUUUAAUUUCUUUGAAAUCAUUAAUUGCUGAGUGAGAUUAAUUAAUGCCAAUAUUCCAGAAGAUGUUCCAGUCAGUAAAAUGUAUACAACGUGCAAAAGAUUCAGAACUCUGAAGGGCAACAUUAUUCUAUAAUUAAGAAUUAAGAAUUAAUUCACAUUAAUUACUGGGGAGAAAUACUUUUUAAGAAUUAAUGACUGAGAAAAUGUUUUUAUUUUUUAUUUAGAAAAUUAUUUUGUGCAUGAGCAUUACCGCAAGUUUUGCAAGAAACAUAAAUUUAAAGAAACAAUUAUGUGCACAAGAUGAAUUUAAUAACAUCUUGAUAUAUUCCACGAUUGCGGUUUUAUUUGGUAAAUCUUUCAAGGCACACCAUUUAAAGAGAAUAAAUGAGUCUUGGAAAUCUUGUAGGUAAGGGUAAAUAUUAGGAUGCAUCCAGUUACAUUUACACACACAUACAGUUACAUUUACACACACAUACACGCAUACAGACUGAGUCACGUGUGUGUAUAUAUAUAUAUGAAUUUACCAAUUGAUGUUAACUAAUAUUUAUAAGAGCCAGUUGGAUUGAUAUAUAUUGUUGAACCUGAAAAAUAUUUAUUAUAUACAUGUUUAAAAUACAGAAAUAAAUAGCAAUUGCACUAGGCAUUUGAAACUGUACUAAAAUAUAAGCUGUGAACAUUUUGUGAUCAUUACAAAUUCUUACACUGAAUAAAUAUUUUUAUUUUUACAAUAUUAA